AUUGAACGCUGGCGGCAGGCCUAGCACAUGCAAGUCGAACGGUAACAGGAAGACGCUUGCUUCUUUGCUGACGAGUGGCGGACGGGUGAGUAAUGUCUGGGAAACUGCCUGAUGGAGGGGGAUAACUACUGGAAACGGUAGCUAAUACCGCAUAACGUCGCAAGACCAAAGAGGGGGACCUUCGGGCCUCUUGCCAUCGGAUGUGCCCAGAUGGGAUUAGCUAGUAGGUGGGGUAACGGCUCACCUAGGCGACGAUCCCUAGCUGGUCUGAGAGGAUGACCAGCCACACUGGAACUGAGACACGGUCCAGACUCCUACGGGAGGCAGCAGUGGGGAAUAUUGCACAAUGGGCGCAAGCCUGAUGCAGCCAUGCCGCGUGUAUGAAGAAGGCCUUCGGGUUGUAAAGUACUUUCAGCGGGGAGGAAGGGAGUAAAGUUAAUACCUUUGCUCAUUGACGUUACCCGCAGAAGAAGCACCGGCUAACUCCGUG
rnacentral:rRNA from 1 species